rnacentral:rRNA from 1 species
UACGUAGGGGGCAAGCGUUGUUCGGAUUUACUGGGCGUAAAGGGCGCGUAGGCGGCCAGCACAAGUCAGUUGUGAAAUCUCCGGGCUUAACUCGGAAAGGUCAACUGAUACUGUGCGGCUAGAGUGCGGAAGGGGCAACUGGAAUUCUCGGUGUAGCGGUGAAAUGCGUAGAUAUCGAGAGGAACACCUGCGGCGAAGGCGGGUUGCUGGGCCGACACUGACGCUGAGGCGCGAAAGCCAGGGGAGCGAACAGG